rnacentral:lncRNA from 1 species
GUGGCGACCGUGACAGCUUGUGUGACGCUUUCUUAAUUCUUUUUAUUAUUUAUUUAAUUUUUUAGUUUUUGUUUAUUAUAUUUGCUAUUGUUUUAUUUUUCUGAUUUGCCAUGAAUGCCACUCUACUACACCAUAGUGUAUAUAUUUUUUUUUUCUAAUAAGCCAUGUAAGUAGUAGCAUACAAUAUAUAUUAUCAUUGGGAAUUUUAGACGGUGCAUAAAUCAAAAUAAAAUUUAAUUUAACCAAUAAUGCCAAUAGCUUCAUAAAAAU